CCUACGGGCGGCAGCAGUGGGGAAUAUUGCACAAUGGGCGCAAGCCUGAUGCAGCCAUGCCGCGUGUGUGAAGAAGGCCUUCGGGUUGUAAAGCACUUUCAGCGGGGAGGAAGGCGUUAAGGUUAAUAACCUUGUCGAUUGACGUUACCCGCAGAAGAAGCACCGGCUAACUCCGUGCCAGCAGCCGCGGUAAUACGGAGGGUGCAAGCGUUAAUCGGAAUUACUGGGCGUAAAGCGCACGCAGGCGGUCUGUCAAGUCGGAUGUGAAAUCCCCGGGCUCAACCUGGGAACUGCAUUCGAAACUGGCAGGCUAGAGUCUUGGAGAGGGGGGUAGAAUUCCAGGUGUAGCGGUGACAUGCGUAGAGAUCUGGAGGAAUACCGGUGGCGAAGGCGGCCCCCUGGACAAAGAGUGACGCUCAGGUGCGAAAGCGUUGGGAGCAAACAGGAUUAGAUACCCGGGUAGUC
rnacentral:rRNA from 1 species